GCGGCGGCUACCAAUGCAAGUUCGAAGCGCGCCCUUUCGGGGUGAGCGGCGGACGGGUUAGUAACGCGCAGGUGACGUGCCCAGAUCUAAGGAAUAGCCACUGGAAACGGUGAGUAAUACCUUAUACGCCCUUCGGGGGAAAGAUUUUAUCGGAUUUGGAUCGGGCCCGCGUUAGAUUAGGGUAGUUGGGUGGGGGGUAAUGGCCUUACCAAGCCCUACGAAUCUAGUAGGCGUGGGUUUUUAGAGGGAUGGAUCAGCAACACUUGGGGACUUGAGACACGGGCCCCAGAACUCCCUAACGGGGAAGGCAGCAGUGGGGGGAAAUUCUUUGGAACAAAUGGGGGGGCAAACCCCUUGGAAUCCCAGCCCAUUGCCCGCGGUGGAGUGAAUGAAAGGCCCUUUAAGGGUUCGUAAAAGCUUCCUUUUCCGCCCUGGUGAUUGAUAAUGGACAGUUACCAGGGUAAAAGAAACCCC
rnacentral:rRNA from 1 species